CAUGCAAGUCGAGCGGCAGCGGGAAGUAGCUUGCUACUUUGCCGGCGAGCGGCGGACGGGUGAGUAAUGUCUGGGAAACUGCCUGAUGGAGGGGGAUAACUACUGGAAACGGUAGCUAAUACCGCAUAACCUCGCAAGAGCAAAGUGGGGGACCUUCGGGCCUCACGCCAUCGGAUGUGCCCAGAUGGGAUUAGCUAGUAGGUGAGGUAAUGGCUCACCUAGGCGACGAUCCCUAGCUGGUCUGAGAGGAUGACC
rnacentral:rRNA from 1 species